GCGGGCGUGGUGGAAUUAGUAGACACGACGGUCUUGGACACCGUUGGGGCGACCCUCCAAGGUCAAACGCCCCGUGCCGGUGCAACUCCGGUCGCCCGCACCA
rnacentral:tRNA from 1 species